rnacentral:misc_RNA from 1 species
CGCCCUCAUUCCUCUAAAAACACCCGAAACACUAGGGGUGUAAAGCUCUAAACUCCCCCCCUCCUGUUUAUUCUCUAUAAUUAACUUAUUAAAGAAGGUACCAAAAUGAAAGACCAGAACACAGGUAUGAAGAAGAAUACAAGGAAGCAUUUUGAAACAACCCUUGUCACACAAGGAAAAGAAUGAUAUGUUGACAAAUAAAUUGCUG